rnacentral:rRNA from 1 species
UACAGAGGGUGCAAGCGUUAAUCGGAAUUACUGGGCGUAAAGCGUGCGUAGACGGUUAUGUAAGUCAGAUGUGAAAGCCCCGGGCUCAACCUGGGAAUUGCAUUUGAGACUGCAUAGCUAGGGUGCGGAAGAGGGAAGCGGAAUUUCCGGUGUAGCGGUGAAAUGCGUAGAGAUCGGGAGGAACACCCGUAGCGAAGGCGGCACUCUGGGCCGGUACUGACGCUGAGAGCGAAAGCGUGGGGAGCAAGCAGG